CUGCAACCAAUUAAGCCGACCGGCCCCCUCUCCCCAUGGGGGUCCGGUGUGCAAUGGCUGCAGACAGCAGCUUCCUUAGUAGUGCAUGUGGCCUGUUGCCCGUACAGGUUGCCCUAAGGGACCUUGGAGACAGCC
rnacentral:snoRNA from 1 species